UCGGGAAUAUUGCGCAAUGGAGGAAACUCUGACGCAGUGACGCCGCGUAUAGGAAGAAGGUUUUCGGAUUGUAAACUAUUUUAGUUAGGGAAGAGAAAAGACGGUACCUGAAGAAUAAGCUCCGGCUAACUACGUGCCAGCAGCCGCGGUAAUACGUAGGGAGCAAGCGUUAUCCGGAAUUAUUGGGUGUAAAGGGUGCGUAGACGGGAAUACAAGUUAGUUGUGAAAGCCCUCGGCUUAACUGAGGAACUGCAACUAAAACUAUAUUUCUUGAGUGCAGGAGAGGAAAGCGGAAUUCCUAGUGUAGCGGUGAAAUGCGUAGAUAUUAGGAGGAACACCAGUGGCGAAGGCGGCUUUCUGGACUGUAACUGACGUUGAGGCACGAAAGUGUGGGGAGCAAACAGG
rnacentral:rRNA from 1 species